CAGCAGCCACGGUAAUACGAAGGGGGCUAGCGUUGUUCGGAUUUACUGGGCGUAAAGGGCGCGUAGGCGGACUGAUAAGUCAGGGGUGAAAUCCCAAGGCUCAACCUUGGAACUGCCUUUGAUACUGUUUGUCUUGAGUUCGAGAGAGGUAAGUGGAACUGCGAGUGUAGAGGUGAAAUUCGUAGAUAUUCGCAAGAACACCAGUGGCGAAGGCGGCUUACUGGCUCGAAACUGACGCUGAGGCGCGAAAGCGUGGGGAGCAAACAGGAUUAGAUACCCGAGUAGUCCCUGUCUCUUAUAC
rnacentral:rRNA from 1 species